GUGCCUAGUGUGUCAAAGAUGACUACUGCUACCAUCAAUUGGAUCUUACAGAAUUAGGGAUUUCUGAAUUUGGGGUUAUGUUGAGCUUAUGCUGUGUACUUGGCUGGUCAUCAGUUCAUACAAGAAUUUCUCUAGAUUAGAAGGUCAAGAACCCUAAACUUAAGUCGUCUUUGGGUAUAAUAAUGUUCAUAUCUAUGCGAUGGAUCCUGAUAAUCCCCAUGUCAGUUGCAUUUGCUGGACAAGGUAUAAACUUGGAAGGACUUCAUUGUUGCAGCAGAGGAAGAUGGCGAUGCAAAACCACGCAACACUUAUGAAAGGAAAAAUAUGAUAGCGGCACCGCAACAAACCAAAACUCCAAACGGAACAAGGCCCUGCGAUGCUGGAAACCUUCAGACUCAGUCUACCUUCGAGUAAAAUAAGCAGUCCAACGGUGGAACAAGUUGCAUGGAAACUAACCAGCCUUACGUUCACGGGCUCAAGUGAUUGGCAAGAGCUGUAAAUUCCUUGCAGGGUUUAUACGGGUCAUGCGUACACCUGAGGUUGCAGAGUAAGAUUCCUAAGAUGAUGAAGCUCAUGCAAGUGCAACCACCAUGCCGAAUAUGAAAUACUUUAAAAUGACUUACAUAGUUCUCUGUACAGGUGAGAUCAUCUCAAACUGUAAGGAUUUAUAAUGCAUAAUUCGGGAGGUCGUUGAAAUGUAAGCUUGAUGGGAACGACCAGAAGGAGAAACACCCCUGGUUGGAAAUAGUUGGACCAUUUGUAGACAAAGGCAGUUGCUGGGAUAUGGAUGAUUGUUCGCAUUAUUCUGACUCAGGAUUUUUUCGCUGGUGGAAUUGCAGAUUACGACAACUUAGGUUCAUACGGUUGGGAUCAUGAACAAAGACUCGAAGAACUUGAGAUUAUUACUACUACUGCUUCUACUACUAGUCUACUUAGUACAUUACUAGUAAUUCUAAGUUCGCAACAACUUCUUAAUUGCUUGGAACUUUUUAUAUUGCUCAAAAGGAUGUAUUUGUUUCAGUAAAAACUAAUCUAUAUGUGUGUCCUCUA